AGUGGGGACUAGCAAACUAUCUGAUAGUCAAUAGUUAAGAUCCCAUGACUAGGAUCUAUCAAGACUAUCAAAGAGUCUCUCUAAGAUCAGAAGAUCUUAGAAGAAAGAUAUAAUCUAGAGAGAUACACUUUUAGAGAGAGAAACUUAUAGAAAGAGAAAGUAAAAUAUUUUUAAGAGAGAAAGUAGAGAGAGAAACUAAAAAGAGAAAG
rnacentral:lncRNA from 1 species